rnacentral:rRNA from 1 species
AACGCGAAGAACCUUACCAGGUCUUGACAUCCUCUGACAACCCUAGAGAUAGGGCUUCUCCUUCGGGAGCAGAGUGACAGGUGGUGCAUGGUUGUCGUCAGCUCGUGUCGUGAGAUGUUGGGUUAAGUCCCGCAACGAGCGCAACCCUUGAUCUUAGUUGCCAUCAUUUAGUUGGGCACUCUAAGGUGACUGCCGGUGACAAACCGGAGGAAGGUGGGGAUGACGUCAAAUCAUCAUGCCCCUUAUGACCUGGGCUACACACGUGCUACAAUGGACGGUACAAAGAGCUGCAAGACCGCGAGGUGGAGCUAAUCUCAUAAAACCGUUCUCAGUUCGGAUUGUAGGCUGCAACUCGCCUACAUGAAGCUGGAAUCGCUAGUAACCGCGGAUCAGCAUGCCGCGGUGAAUACGUUCCCGGGCCUUGUACACACCG